CCACACUUUAAUCCUGGCUCGUGCAACUGGGAAACUGAAUUUUUAAAAAGAAUUUAAAUUUAAAUAACCACAGGAGGCGCUUGGCUACCAUAUUGGACACGGCAUACAAUACAGAUGGCUAGGGAAAGUGAGAGGUCACAGCGCCCUCCAAGUACCUUGUGCUCCUAUGAAGAGGGAGCAGCUUUCUGAAAUUUUUAACACCUUUCCAGAUGUGCUGAAGAGAUCUGUCCUAGAGAUGUUGCAGGCGUGAUAUUUUCAUGGCAUUUUAAAGUAUCACUGGAUCCGUCUUCCGACGUUUUAAAGAAAUCCCUUAGGGGGGAUAAGAUGCCUGUUGACUAAUUAAACUCAGUAACAAGCCAUUUGCUCUCUCCUGGGGCUUACUAAGGUACGGAUAGUCCAUAAAGGAGUCCCUAAAGGAAUUGCAUGUCUGUAGAAAAAUAGUCAGUCACACUUGCAUCAUCCACUAAAUUCUUCGCUCAUUUUAUUGAUGACAAAUGAAUUUUUGGAAACUUGGUAGUUUGCCUCCAUGCCCAUGAGGCUUCUUCUUAUGAAUUCUGGAGAUCCAUGGAUGGGGAGCUGUGUUCCCCACACAUGUGAUAGAAAAGCAAGCUGGGAUGUGCUUCCCCUGGGGUCCAGGCAGAGGUGCUCAGCCCAGACCCCCCAACUCUCAAUUCAGUCCUCUCUGUGACACUAUGCAAUGUCAUCUCUUGAACACCUUAGGCCAAGAACAAAACAAAAACAUUUUAAACUCUUCAAAGUUCCAUAAAAUUUCCACCAUCAGUAUACAUGCAGAUGCAAGAAUAAAGGCAAAAGGAAUUGUCUUGUAAACAGCCACACAAAAGAAUUCUAAGUAUAGAGGAAAAACAAAUGUUGGCAUACCUGCAUUUGUGCCAGCAAUGGAAAGGCCCACACAAAUUAGAUCAAGUGGUAGACCAUCCCUUUUAAGAAAGUACUAGAAACCCAGCCAUGGGGUCUGAACUGUGGUUUACACCAUGCAAGAGACUGCUCUGCCUUCCAAUGCCAACCGCCAGUUGUUGUAAAUCUCCAGCUGCCAGGAGACCAGGUGGCCUGC
rnacentral:lncRNA from 10 species